GAAGAUAAAGCUCAGUAAUAGAGUACAUGCCUAGCAUGCAUGACAUCAUGGGUUCAAACCCCAAUACCACCA
rnacentral:tRNA from 1 species